AGCACUAAUACAAAACGUCAAAUGCAAUGACAUUUAAAGGAGCAGUAGUCAGGGGGUGGGGUGGGAGAGAAAUCAAUUUAAAGGCCACCGAAAGAAUUGUCUUCAGUUUCUGGCGAGAGGCACUGAAGAUGGCGACUGAUGGAUCUUGAUCAGGAGGAAAUGGAGGCAUUAAACCUUUCCCUUGACAAAUACAAACACCCUGUACUUACAGGAAUGCACACCCCAUUCUUUAAAUUCUGAGAAAAUUAAAUCUCAUUCCUCACACUUUACAGAGAGAUACAGCGCAAAUUCAGUAAGUUGCAGGAUGAUGAAUGGAAGCAUCCCACGGAGAAAUAUUUAAAUUGUCACAUUAGAAAAGUCAUAAAAAAUAAAAAUAAAAAUGCGUCAGCCCAGGAGAGAAGUUGCUUUUUAAGAAGCCUAAGAAAUAAUGGCCACAACUGGUGAUUGGAUGAACACAAUGAGAAUGAAGAUAAAGAACUGGAAGUCUGAUCUUUUCUUUUGCCCUCAUAAAGAAGCUCGGAACACCACAGUGGUGCCUGAACUCAUAAAUAAAGCACAAAAGAGACUUGAACCUUGGUCUUCAACUGCGCAAGGUAAAAUGUCAUUGCAUGAGAUAUUUUUACAUGAUUGGUUAUUGCAAAUGUCUAACCAGCUUUC